ACGGGUGAGUAACACGUGGGUGAUCUGCCCUGCACUUCGGGAUAAGCCUGGGAAACUGGGUCUAAUACCGGAUAUGACUUCAGGUUGCAUGACUUGGGGUGGAAAGAUUUAUCGGUGCAGGAUGGGCCCGCGGCCUAUCAGCUUGUUGGUGGGGUAAUGGCCUACCAAGGCGACGACGGGUAGCCGACCUGAGAGGGUGACCGGCCACACUGGGACUGAGACACGGCCCAGACUCCUACGGGAGGCAGCAGUGGGGAAUAUUGCACAAUGGGCGAAAGCCUGAUGCAGCGACGCCGCGUGAGGGAUGACGGCCUUCGGGUUGUAAACCUCUUUCAGCAGGGACGAAGCGCAAGUGACGGUACCUGCAGAAGAAGCACCGGCUAACUACGUGCCAGCAGCCGCGGUAAUACGUAGGGUGCAAGCGUUGUCCGGAAUUACUGGGCGUAAAGAGUUCGUAGGCGGUUUGUCGCGUCGUUUGUGAAAACCAGCAGCUCAACUGCUGGCUUGCAGGCGAUACGGGCAGACUUGAGUACUGCAGGGGAGACUGGAAUUCCUGGUGUAGCGGUGAAAUGCGCAGA
rnacentral:rRNA from 1 species